CGGAGCCUUUCCUACACUGUCUUUCCUCCAUGAGAGAAUGUAUGUUUUUUUUUUUUUUUUUUUUUCGAGGCCUCGCGGCGCAUUGAGUUCAUCGAGAGAGUUUAUCCAAGCUUUCCCUGAUUAGGAAUGUUUCUGUGCCGCCAAAUCACUGAGGCUAUGCAUUGAGCAACCUAGUGCGAUUUUAUUCCGCUAGGUGCCACUGCUGUCCCGAUGGUCGGCGGUGGUGGCUUGAUUGAGAACGCGCAUUUGGAAAUUAUUCCGUAGAAUUCGAGCUUUAUCCAAUCAUUGUCGUACCCAGUUCUUGUGCGAAUGUUUGUUUCGGUCGAUCGAUAGCUUUGAUGACAGAAUGCCUUCGUGCUCCGUGCCCAACUGUGGGAAUGACUCUAGGAAUGGUGGGAGAGUAUUUCAUUUUCCCACCCAACCCCAAAGGAGAGCACGAAUUGGGAGCCUACCAAGUGGUCCUCCGUGUGCAGUGCUCACUUUGAUGAGGACAGCUUUGAGCAGAACCGCGAUGAUGGCUGGAAAAGGCUAAAGCAGGAUGCUGUGCCAACGCUGUUCCCGCCAAAGGAAUCUUCCCGCAAACGAACCACGGCGAAUGGCGCAACAGGAAUGGCAACGCCAUCUGUGGCAAGUGAGGGUUCCGUAGAUGGAGCAGAUCCGGCAAUCGACGCAGGUGGAGGUGCGCCUCUUGUCGUCCUCCAACGGCACUGAUCUGUCUCGGCUAGAGAGCUGCAUCGUGCCACAGAUAGCCAACUCAAGCCGGACGCCCCGGAGUACAACAGUCAAGCAGGAGCUCGCUGCGCUGAACGCUGCGUCAUCCGAUCCUCCGUGUUAUAACAGCUCCUGCGCAGAAUUGCGUCAACAACUUGCAGACACGACGAGAAGGCAGGACCAACUGCUGGAAGCUUACGUGAUUGCGAAUUCGACCGUUAACGCGCUUAGAGGUAAGGUCGGGGAGUUGGAAAGCACCGUGGAAAUUGUCCGACAGCGCCUUCAGCCUCGCAACGGCGUUCAUUUGCAGGUGGCGCCACGAAAGAGGAACCACAGCAGUACCUAUACGCAAUAAAGUUCGCGUUUAGGGAUUUUCCUGCUGAA